GGACCGAGGGAGCCUCCGACUUCAGGCCGAGCUGGAGCGUCGCUGAACCGGCUGUGAGGACGGUGGCUGUGGCGCCGAAGAGCGGAGGACAGAAAGAGAGAGAUUUUCACUGGGAUUUACUGACCUGCUGCUGGACGGAAAUAUUUAAAGGAGUCUGAGGGCGAUGUGGAGGCUCAGAUUGGCUCAGUCGCACUGAUUCAGAGAGCUGAGCGCCGGCUGUGGAGCAUCAGCAGCAGCAGCCCCUUCCCUGUGAGAGAGACCAAACCAUUCAACAACGUCGAAAGUUGCUUACUUCAAGAGGAAAUAUGCGGAGGAGGAGGAUUUACACGGAGGCCUACAUGGAUAUUUUCAAAAACACCUGAUACUGCAGGAGGACCGGAGCUGCAUCCUGAAGCUGUCCCUGGAGAAGCUGAGGUUCCUGGAGGACCCUGAGGCCUACCUGCGGCGCUCUGUCCUCAUCAACAACCUGCUGAGGAAGAUCCA